rnacentral:rRNA from 1 species
GAUGAACGCUGGCGGCGUGCCUAAUACAUGCAAGUCGAGCGAACAGACGAGGAGCUUUCUCCUCUGACUUUAUCGGCGGACGGGUGAUUAACACGUGGAUAACCUACCUAUACGACUGGGAUAACUUCGGGAAACCGUAGCUAAUACCGGAUAAUAUAUUGAACCUCAUGGUUCAAUAGUGAAAGACGGUUUUGCUUUCACUUAUAGCUUGAUCCGCGCCGCAUUAGCUAGUUGGUAAGGUAACGGCUUACCAAGGCAACGAUGCGUAGCCGACCUGAGAGGGUGAUCGGCCACACUGGAACUGAGACACGGUCCAGACUCCUACGGGAGGCAGCAGUAGGGAAUCUUCCGCAAUGGGCGAAAGCCUGACGGAGCAACGCCGCGUGAGUGAUGAAGGUCUUCGGAUCGUAAAACUCUGUUAUUAGGGAAGAACAAAUGUGUAAGUAACUAUGCACGUCUUGACGGUACCUAAUCAGAAAGCCACGGCUAACUACGUG